rnacentral:rRNA from 1 species
UACGAAGGGGGCUAGCGUUGUUCGGAAUUACUGGGCGUAAAGUGUGCGCAGGCGGCCGCGCAAGUCGAGUGUGAAAGCCCCGGGCUUAACUUGGGAAUUGCGCUCGAAACUACGUGGCUGGAGUGUGGCAGAGGAAGGUGGAAUUCCAGGUGUAGCGGUGAAAUGCGUAGAGAUCUGGGGGAACACCGAUGGCGAAGGCGACAUCCUGGACCGGUAUUGACGCUGAGGCGCGAAAGCCAGGGGAGCAAACGGG